rnacentral:rRNA from 1 species
UAAUACAGAGGUGGCAAGCGUUGUUCGGAAUUACUGGGCGUAAAGGGCGCGUAGGCGGUCCGAUAAGUCCCGUGUGAAAUCCCUCGGCUCAACUGAGGAAUGGCACGGGAAACUGACGGGCUUGAGUUCGGGAGAGGGAAGCGGAAUUCCGGGUGUAGCGGUGAAAUGCGUAGAUAUCCGGAGGAACACCGGUGGCGAAGGCGGCUUCCUGGACCGACACUGACGCUGAGGCGCGAAAGCUAGGGGAGCAAACGGGAUUAGAUACCCCGGUAGUCCUGGCCCUAAACGAUGAAUGCUUGGUGUGGCGGGUAUCGAUCCCUGCCGUGCCGAAGCUAACGCAUUAAGCAUUCCGCCUGGGGAGUACGGUCGCAAGGCUG